rnacentral:lncRNA from 1 species
GCAUAAUUUGGUACACUUUGUUACUCUUUCUGUUUGAGUAUAGAGAAGCAAGGAUUUUCAUACUGAACAAGUUCAAGGACAGUAGUGUGAGUAACAGUGAGAGGAGCGGGGAGAAUUUCGGAGGAAUCCAGGAGAUGAUCGGGAGAAACUGCGGCGGCACCGGCGCCGGCGAAGACGAAGUAGUUGAUGUGGUGGUUAGAACGCCUUCCAAUCCUCAGACCACGCAGAAUGUAAACAAGGUGGCUCCAGAUUCUCGGUCAUGUUUGAAACCAACGCCGGCAGGAGGCGCCGCGCAGGAAGACGGUAAAGAGGUCCAUCUGUUCAUUUGGCGAUGCGGGUGUUGCAG